rnacentral:rRNA from 1 species
UACGGAGGGAGCAAGCGUUGUUCGGCGUUACUGGGCGUAAAGCGCAUGUCGGCGGCCUGACAAGUCGGGUGUGAAAUCCCGGAGCUCAACUCCGGAACUGCAUCCGAUACUGUCAGGCUCGAGUCUCGGAGAGGAUGGCGGAAUUUCCGGUGUAGAGGUGAAAUUCGUAGAUAUCGGAAGGAACACCAGUGGCGAAGGCGGCCGUCUGGACGAUGACUGACGCUGAGAUGCGAAAGCGUGGGGAGCAAACAGG